GCCCAUUAAAAGUAGCUGUGUGCAGCCGGCCACAGGCUUUCCUCAUCUGUCCUGUCUCCAUGUUUGAGAGAGAUCAUGUCACAACAAGGCGUUGUUUGCAGUAGGACUCACCCCCAUCCCACGACACCACAUGAGUGCUGCGUGUGUGUGCUGGAUCACAUGUGGGGCAAUUGUUUGGUCACUGUAACCUGUUGCCCAAGUCUGUCGUAGGAGCAAGGAGUAUGAUGUUGGUGUCCUAUAUGCACUAGUUCCAUUGUACUUGAGCAAAGGCGGAGCUCUGUUGCCACUGCUGUUUUUGUCCUGUAGUUAAUUUAGUUUCCAUACCCUUUUUUGUUUUUUUUUUCUUUUUUGCUUCUAUUCAUUUGUGAUAGUUGAUUUGGACAAUUUUCUGUCUUAAGGCAGACUCAGUUGGCUCUACCCUGUUGCAUUGUAUGUGUAUAUGGAUUAUGUGAAGGCCUGUAACGUGAGGGAGCCAUUUUACUCUGUUCUGUACACCUUUAUUUUAUAAAUUGACGUGGGUGUGUAGCCUGUAUAACCUGAGACUUGUGAUAUUGCUGGGUUUCUUUUCUGCCAGUCACAAGAUGGUUGGGUUGUUAUAUGCCUGUAGGUGGUUGGUCACUGGGUGGAGCUUUUCGGCUAUCCAGGGUUUUUUUCUUUUAUCUGCUGUGGCCUUAACGUGUGUGUGCGUGUGUCCCUCUGCAUGAAGAGUGGGACAUUCUCUAUUGCAUGUGUUUGCUGUAUGUAUUAACCCGUGUGCCUUUUUGUCUUGCAGUGCAUGUUUAAACUCCCUUCAUGCUCGUGGUGGUGGUUUCCUCCCCCCCCUUCACUCCCAUCCUCCUGUGGGUUAUCCUGGCACCCUUCCCCCUGUACUGCCUCUAUUUUCAGCUUCUUUCCCCAAUAAGUUAAAUACUGGUGGAUUUAAAUAAAAGUGCUAUUUUGAAACUAG